AAGAAACGAAAGUGGAGUAAAGAAUCUCAACACUACGGCAAGGUUGGGAUACGAACGGAGACGAAACUCCGACGAGGGGUCAUCCGACGAUCGUGUGAGGUGGUGCUUGGGUGGGUGGAAAUCGUGGUGUGGAUUGUGUAUAGAGAGGUCUCAAAGGCAAGGGAAGGUAUGUGAUUUCGUUUAAUGUUAUGAUGCUGGAACAGAAAAUAAAAUGUGAGAUUCUUGUGCCAUUGUUGGAUCUAUGUGUAAGUUGAUAAUGAUUAGUGUAGGAAGUUGGAGUUGGGUUGGACUCUGUAGGUGUUAGGGUGGAAAACAAGGAAUACAGUGUGACCUUUAAAAUAGCAUCAAAUCAAUGAUGUGUGAAACUUAUCGUGGGUUGGAGUUCUGUAGAACCAUGUGAUAUUUAUUAGGUGUCUUCUAUUAUGUUUUUAUGUUUAGAUAAUGGCUUGUCAUGUCUUUACUCUUAUGAGUUAUGUUAAUGGUGCGUGGAAGAAUAAUUGCAGGAAUGUUAUCUAAAAUAUUUUCAGAAGAUCUUGAGGUCAGUUCUGGGUUUUGAGGAUUUUACACAGAUUUCCUUCAUGUUUAUCUUCUCAGAAGAUUUUAGAUUUUUGUGGGUUCGAUCGAGAUUUUAAUUGUGGUUAUUUCUUUCGGUAUUUUUAAGGGAUUUUAGAUUUCAAUUUUGGGUUGUUGUAGGAUUUUAUUUGUGUUUAUUCAGUACCAACAGAAGAUCUUAUAUUAGAAUUCUGGAUUUUUAGGGUUUAAUGGAUAGGGCAAAUGAGUGAUAAAUUAUAUUUAGCGAUAAGUAAGUAAAUAGUGGUGAUGUUAAACAGUUGAGAAUCUCAUAUUGGGUAGUGUUGUGGACCUGUGGUUAUAUUACUGAGCUGAAUUUAAACGGUUGAUUUCAUUUAGAUCAUUUUGUUGGUUUUGAUAUUUUUGAUUUUCAGCCUUCAUACCUUUGUUUUUUAGAUUUUUCGACUUUAGAUUUCGUGUUAGUUCACUCGGCUUUUCGGGUUUUGUUUUCCAUCUAGAUUUACUUUUAUUUUCAUGAUUAUUUAUGAGUUCCCUGAAGAAUCAUGGGUUGGGUAUUUAACAUCAUGUGUUUCUAAAUGGUGGUGAAAUAAAUAUAUCUUAAUUGUUUUUUUUUAGAUUUGACUAAAUGAUUCAUCAAGACAUAUUUUAUUUCUUUCUCUUAUAUUUUCUACAUUGGGUUGCAUGUGGGCUAGAUGCAUAAGGUAAGGGUUAUUGGGUUGAUGAGUGGGUGAUUUAUAAUAUGUGAUAAUUACAUUGCAGAAUAGUGAGUGGAUAACAUUGAUGGGAAGUGAAUUACAGUUAUAGUGUGAGUGUUAUGUAAUAGCGUAGAAUAUUGUGAUUCCCAUUGAUUUCCAUGAUUAUGAUUCUUUUUCUGUGAUGUGGCUAACGUUAAGGGACCUAUACUGAGUCGAUAAAAUAUUUGACUCACCCAUCCUUGUGUUCAUUGUGUGAUAGGAUGGAAAUAUGGAAUCAAUGAAAAGAGGCACGACAGUGAAGGGGCGAAGUUCAUUGCGUUUUUGUUUUGUUAAACCUUAUUUCUGAUAGAGAUUAUGGUUUAGGUGGAUUAUGAAACAUGCAUGUUAUUGGGGUAUUGGUACUCAAACUUAUGAACAUGUUCGACCUAUAUUGUGAUUGUUAUUAAAUGACUAUACUUACUCUCAUGUGUGAGUGCUUUUAUGUGACAUGAAUUAAGUAUUAGUCAUUGAAUCGUUAAUAUCCCAACGAGGGAUGUUUGUAGCGGC
rnacentral:lncRNA from 1 species